rnacentral:rRNA from 1 species
GACGAACGCUGGCGGCGCGCCUAACACAUGCAAGUCGAACGGUGAAGAGGAGCUUGCUCCUCGGAACAGUGGCGGACGGGUGAGUAACACGUGAGCAACCUGGCUCUAAGAGGGGGACAACAGUUGGAAACGACUGCUAAUACCGCAUAACGUAUCGGGAUGGCAUCUUCCUGAUACCAAAGAUUUUAUCGCUUAGAGAUGGGCUCGCGUCUGAUUAGAUAGUUGGCGGGGUAACGGCCCACCAAGGCGACGAUCAGUAGGGUUCUGAGAGGAAGGUCCCCCACAUUGGAACUGAGACACGGUCCAAACUCCCUACGGGAGGCAGCAGUGAGGAAUAUU